AUGAAUCUUUGUUGGCAAAAAUCUAUUUAUGAUUAAGAAUGAAGAAUUUGUGUGAAAGGGUCCUUACAAUGACCCUUCACACUCUCCAACUUCAACAGUUUGCUUAAGCUUAGCCAUUGGUUUCUAUGAUCAGUGAUCACAAGGAGAAUAUGGAGAAUCAGAAGAAGCUAGUUAGUAAAGAAUAAUUAAUUAGCGCGUGUUUGAAUUCACGAUGAGUUUGACAUGUCAGAGUGUGCGAUUGUGUUUUUGACAAAAAUUACACUUUGGAGCUCAAGGAAAUCACGGUGCUACCAUGAUAUCGUCAAGCUCACUAUGAUUCCAACCAUGCACUUAGUUCUCCGUAGGAAGAGAAGCUUUGGCUAUAGGUUGGUAAACCGGCAAGUCACAAAAAGGCGAUGGACCGCAUUAGAGGUCCU
rnacentral:lncRNA from 2 species